rnacentral:lncRNA from 1 species
GACUCAGUGAAUAAUAAGUAUAGAAAAUGACUGAAAGCAGGAAAUCCACAAAGUACCACAACGCAAAGCUAUAACUAACAAUCCUAUAACUUCGGUACAGGCUAACGACAUAAUAGUAUCACAACAACAACCAAGCAUUAGAUAAAGAUGCAAUGCAAUGCACAUGAUUUCACCGCGGAACGUGCAGCUCGAUCCAUUUAACGUCGACGGAGCUCACUGGGGUGUGUACAGACUCCGGAGUAGCUCUUUAAGCCCAAGCGCAAAUAUCAAUAUAUAUCCGCUGCGGAUCGUGCAGCCCGACCCAUGCUCAGUCCAUAAUAUGCAUAUGAGUCACUAAACAGAUUCAAUCUAGUUUCCCUUUUUUCGAUUAUUAAGGUGAAUAUAAUUUGAUUAUUUAAUUUCAGGAAAAGUGACUUAGCAUUUCAAUUUCAGUGUUUAAUCACAGAAUUGAUCAAUGAUUAUGAAAUCAUGUCAUAACACAGAUAUUCACCCUAGACGGGUACUACAGAUCGGCACAAGGCCCCAAGCAUGGCAUUAAACCCAAUUAUCAAAGACACAAUGUGCGUAUCAGACGCCAAUAAUUUAUCUAGCUCACGGGAUGGACCAUGUCACAAAUUCCCAAUCAUAUACAACCCCGCACCUGCCAUGGGGUGCGAGUCACGCCCUAAAAUAGCGUCACGAUGUGAUAAGCCGGGGUUUCAAACCCUCAAGCCAUCA